AUUGAACGCUGGCGGCAGGCCUAACACAUGCAAGUCGAACGAGUGGCGGACGGGUGAGUAAUGUCUGGGGAACUGCCCGAUGGAGGGGGAUAACUACUGGAAACGGUAGCUAAUACCGCAUACCAUCGGAUGUGCCCAGAUGGGAUUAGCUUGUAGGUGGGGUAAAGGCUCACCUAGGCGACGCACCCUAGCUGGGCUGAGAGGAUGACCAGCCACACUGGAACUGAGACACGUUCCAGACGCCUACGGGAGGCAGCAGUGGGGAAUAGUGCACAAUGGGCGCAAGCCUGAUGCAGCCACGCCGCGUGUAUGAAGAAGGCCUUCGGGUUGUAAAGUACUUUCAGCGAGGAGGCGUUACUCGCAGAAGAAGCACCGGCUAACUCCGUGCCAGCAGCCGCGGUAAUUC
rnacentral:rRNA from 1 species